rnacentral:rRNA from 1 species
AAUAGAUACCCAGGUAGUCCACGCCGUAAACGAUGAGUGCUAAGUGUUAGAGGGUUUCCGCCCUUUAGUGCUGCAGCUAACGCAUUAAGCACUCCGCCUGGGGAGUACGGUCGCAAGACUGAAACUCAAAGGAAUUGACGGGGGCCCGCACAAGCGGUGGAGCAUGUGGUUUAAUUCGAAGCAACGCGAAGAACCUUACCAGGUCUUGACAUCCUCUGACAACUCUAGAGAUAGAGCGUUCCCCUUCGGGGGACAGAGUGACAGGUGGUGCAUGGUUGUCGUCAGCUCGUGUCGUGAGAUGUUGGGUUAAGUCCCGCAACGAGCGCAACCCUUGAUCUUAGUUGCCAGCAUUUAGUUGGGCACUCUAAGGUGACUGCCGGUGACAAACCGGAGGAAGGUGGGGAUGACGUCAAAUCAUCAUGCCCCUUAUGACCUGGGCUACACACGUGCUACAAUGGAUGGUACAAAGGGCUGCAAGACCGCGAGGUCAAGCCAAUCCCAUAAAACCAUUCUCAGUUCGGAUUGUAGGC